rnacentral:ncRNA from 1 species
GAAAAAGCAUAGAGAAGAAAUAGUACUUCUGUUGUCCCUCUUACAGAGAGUGUAUGGUUGGUGAAAAUACACAGAGAAGAUAGAAAGAACACAUCUUUGAGCUGAUCGGUGAAGCAUUUUGCCACUAGCCGACUCCGGAACCUCGCACCCGUUAUCGUGCAAGAGUAUGAUUGUACUCGUUGAGGAUGAUAUCGCAAGGUAUCAUUAAAAAAAGGUGGGACCACGUGAGCAGCAGCUCUCGUCCUUUUC